rnacentral:rRNA from 1 species
UACGUAGGUGGCGAGCGUUAUCCGGAAUGAUUGGGCGUAAAGGGUGCGUAGGCGGCCUGCUAAGUCUGAAGUGAAAAUCCAGCGCUUAACGUUGGAAGUGCUUUGGAAACUGCCGGGCUGGAGUGCAGGAGGGGCAGGCGGAAUUCCUAGUGUAGCGGUGAAAUGCGUAGAUAUUAGGAGGAACACCAGUGGCGAAGGCGGCCUGCUGGACUGCAACUGACGUUGAGGCUCGAAGGCGUGGGGAGCAAACAGG